UACAGACACAAUAUAUUUAAUCUUAUUAGAUUAUUAGUUAUUUGCAUUUGAUUGGUUUUACUCUCAAUAAAACAUUUGCAAUAGAUUUGUAAAAGGUGUUUUUACUGCAUGUUUAGUGUGAGUUUUGUUGCAUUUACACUGUUCUGACCACUAGGUGUCACCGUGGAGUCGGGUGUCAGAUUGUUUCGAAGCCUCGAAACAUCACGGCACAUUUGAUUCAACUGCUUCAGUGUUUCACGAAGCCUCGCUCUGCCCAUCACUAUCUCUAAUAUGUAUAAUAUCAAAUCUAUUUAUAAGUAAUGUAGCAAUUCAUUAUUUUAAACGCGCUUCACUGCGCGCUCAGGUGAUUCAUUCAUGUUCACGCGCGCGGAGGUGGGAGGAGUCUCGUAGCUGUGUGGGUUAUAUCCGCCAUGUUUGAGUGGUUUGGAGCGGACGCGAGCAAAACAACCGAUUAUUUACCAAGAGAUAUUAAUGUAUGGAGUCAUGUCGAGAAAACAGUUCUGGUAAGCAUUGAUGCACGCUUACAUUUGUAGUAUGUUUACUUAGCAGACGCUUAUCAAGGAACUUACUAAAGUUAACUUCACGUGACUGCCGCGAAUGCGGCUUUCUUGGCUUGUCUGCAAACUUUAGAUAUGCCACUACAGCUAAUAAAUGGAUGAAAUCUUUUUCAUCUGUGAUCUAAGCAUUGUUGUGUGGAUCUGGAGUGUUAACGCUGCACUAAACUUUGACGAUCAACACUCCGAUCUGCAAACAAAGAGCUGAUCAAGGAUGAUGACGGUCCUGCAUUCACGAGAAAGAGCAGGGUGUGCAUGAUGUCAACAUGAAACGCACUGUAGCCCUCUGUGCUCCUCAGUGUACCUGUGUGAGGAGGACCCACAAUUCUUCAAGACUUGACAUGAGGCGUUGGGAGAGCCAGACAUCACUGAUCGUGUCAUUGUGGUCAACGAAAGCACAAGUCCAUCAAGCACUGCAGUUGUUAAAGAAGAUGAUCUAAAGUUUUAUAAUAAAAGACUAAUCUUCAAAAAAAUCUUCAAUUGUACAGCUGGAGGUUUAUUUUAUGUAUUUAUUUUUUUAGGUUUUGUUGUUGUUUUUUUGUCUUUUGAGUUAGUUUUUUUAUGUAAUGAUGUCCUGCAGAGGUGCCUGAUCCUGUUCCUGGAGAUCUUCCUGCCUGCAGAGUUCAGCUAAGUUAUUCAGCUCAUUAUUUUGCUAAGUACAACAGCAAAAC